rnacentral:rRNA from 1 species
AUACGGAGGGUGCAAGCGUUACUCGGAAUCACUGGGCGUAAAGCGCGCGCAGGCGGUCUUUUAAGUUGGAUGUGAAAGCCUACGGCUCAACCGUAGAACUGCAUCCAAAACUAUUAGACUAGAGUGUGGGAGAGGAAGAUGGAAUUAGUUGUGUAGGGGUAAAAUCCGCAGAGAUAACUAGGAAUACCAAAAGCGAAGGCAAUCUUCUGGAACACUACUGACGCUGAGGCGCGAAAGCGUGGGGAGCAAACAGGAUUAGAUACCCUAGUAGUCC